UGGGGCGUGGCCAAGUGGUAAGGCAACGGGUUUUGGUCCCGCUAUUCGGAGGUCUGAAUCCUUCCGUCCCAG
rnacentral:tRNA from 1 species